rnacentral:rRNA from 1 species
CGUUACUCGGAUUGACUGGGCGUAAAGGGCGCGUAGGCGGUUUGUACAGUCAGACGUGAAAUUCCUGGGCUCAACCUGGGGGCUGCGUUUGAUACGUGCAGACUUGAGUUCGGAAGAGGGUCGUGGAAUUCCCAGUGUAGAGGUGAAAUUCGUAGAUAUUGGGAAGAACACCGGUGGCGAAGGCGGCGACCUGGUCCGAUACUGACGCUGAGGCGCGAAAGCGUGGGGAGCAAACAGG